rnacentral:rRNA from 1 species
UCCUACGGGAGGCAGCAGUAAGGGAUAUUGCACAAUGGACGGAAGUCUGAUGCAGCGACGCCGCGUGGGUGAAGAAGGUUUUCGGAUCGUAAAGCCCUUUUCUAUGUGACGAGAGAGGACGGUAGCAUAGGAAUAAGUGUCGGCUAACUACGUGCCAGCAGCCGCGGUAAAACGUAGGACACGAACGUUAUCCGGAGUUACUGGGCGUAAAGCGCGCGCAGGCGGUUGGUCAAGUUACCUAUGAAAGUUACCGGCAAAACUGGUAAUGGUUAGGUGAAGCUGGUUAACUAGAGAGAAAUAGAGGGAAGUAGAAUUCCGGGUGUAGUGGUGAAAUGCGUAGAUAUCCGGAGGAAUACCGGUGGCGAAGGCGGCUUCCUGGAUUUCCACCGACGCUGAGGCGCGAAAGCGUGGGUAGCGAACGGGAUUAGAAACCCCGGUAGUCCACGCCGUAAACGAUGUACAUUAGGCGUUCGGCAACGAUGGUUGUUGAGUGUCGCAGCAAACGCGAUAAAUGUACCGCCUGGGGAGUACGGUCGCAAGGCUAAAACUCAAAGGAAUUGACGGGGA